CGAGUUUGCGAAUGCGGGUGGUUGCAGUUUCUAGCGGUUUUAAGAAAUUUGUACGACUGAUUAUAUAGUUAGAAAUUGGUGUGUCUGUGAAAUACUUAUGACUGAUUAAAUACCAAAUGCGGUAGCGGUUGAAUAAUAAAUUAACAAUAUUUAAAUUUAAUUUAUAUAAUUAUAAAAUAUCAAAAAUCAUAAUAUUAAAUAUAAAAAUUAAUUUUAGAAAGUUAUAG
rnacentral:lncRNA from 1 species